rnacentral:lncRNA from 1 species
UUGACAUAAAUAAAUUUCUUUCCGUACUCAUAACCAUAUUAAAAUAACCUCUUAUAUCCAGCUAUCAAGUUGCAUCCACGUGAAUACAAAGAUUCAUAUAUUACAUCAGUUUCAUCCACGUGGAUACAAAGUUUCAUAUAUUCAUAUACUACAAUAGUUUCAAUACAACCCAUGUUACAAGAAAUCAUCUUCAAGCAUUCCAUCAAUAUUUGCCAAGCUUCCCGUGAAGUGAAGGUAAUCUACAAAAUGACAAAUAAGAAACUUAGAAGAAUAAUAGUAGAUGAAGUAGUGUAUAUAUAGGUUAUUUCGGAGAGAAAUUAGCUAAGUAUAGACCAUUUAGGAGCUAACUAAGCUAAUUAUGUCAUUUAGGUGGAACCCUAGCUAACUAUAGGUCGUUUCAGAGCUAACUUGUAUAAAAUAGGUCAUUCCGAAGCAACCUAUGCAUAUUAAGCCAUUUUUGAUCUAGCUAGGCUAAUUAUAGGCCAUUUAAUACCUAAUUUAGGGGGAAUAGGUCAUGUUGCAGCUACGUAAGCCUUAUUAUGUCAUUUCGAGGAUAAUUAGCUAAGUAUAGGUCAUCUUUUAUU